rnacentral:rRNA from 1 species
UACGUAGGGGCGAGCGUUGUCCGGAAUUAUUGGGCGUAAAGAGCUUGUAGGCGGUUUGUCGCGUCUGCUGUGAAAAUCCGGGGCUCAACCCCGGACUUGCAGUGGGUACGGGCAGACUAGAGUGUGGUAGGGGAGACUGGGAUUCCUGGUGUAGCGGUGAAAUGCGCAGAUAUCAGGAGGAACACCGAUGGCGAAGGCAGGUCUCUGGGCCACUACUGACGCUGAGAAGCGAAAGCAUGGGGAGCGAACAGGAUUAGAUACCCCGGUAGU